rnacentral:snRNA from 1 species
GGAAAUAGAAGAGGUCCUGUA